rnacentral:misc_RNA from 1 species
GUGAGUCAUCGAAUCUUUGAACGCACAUUGCGCCUCCUGGAAUUCCAUGAGGCAUGCCUGUUCGAGCGUCAUUUGAACCCUCAAGCCUUGCUUGGUGUUGGGUGUUGUCCUGGGGACUCGCCUUAAAUGUAUUGGCAGCUCUUCUUAUCGGCUUGCAAGCGCAGCACAGUCCGCGCUCCAGCCUGUAGAAGCCGCAUCCAGAAGCCCCCUUCUACGCUUGACCUCGGAUCAGGUAGGGAUACCCGCUGAACUUAAGCAUAUCAAUAAGCGGAGGA